rnacentral:rRNA from 1 species
UUGAACGCUGGCGGAAUGCUUUACACAUGCAAGUCGAGCGGCAGCGCGGGGGCAACCCUGGCGGCGAGCGGCGAACGGGUGAGUAAUGUAUCGGAACGUACCCUGUCGUGGGGGAUAACACAGCGAAAGCUGUGCUAAUACCGCAUACGACCUGAGGGUGAAAGCGGGGGAUCGCAAGACCUCGCGCGCUAGGAGCGGCCGAUAUCGGCUUAGCUUGUUGGUGAGGUAAAGGCUCACCAAGGCGACGAUCCGUAGCUGGGCUGAGAGGACGACCAGCCACACUGGAACUGAGACACGGGCCAGACUCCUAAGGGAGGCAGCAGUGGGGAAUUUUGGACAAUGGGGGCAACCCGGAUCCAGCCAUGCCGCGGGAGGGAAGAAGGCCUUCGGGUUGUAAAGCUCUUUCAGCAGGAACGAAACGGUGGCCAUUAAUACUGGCUACUAAUGACGGUACCUGAAGGAGAAGCACCGGCUAACUACGU